AUUUCAGUUUUGAAAGUUCCUCCAAGUCAUGAAGGAAAGCGUUGGGAGUCGGAUUGGGUUUGCCUCUGUGUCAUUCCCAGAUUCAAAAGCGAGAAGUGCACAUGAUGUAGUGACUUCGCUUGCUUAUGUGCCUUGUGCUGAUCAACUGGAGCACAAGAAGAGCAACCUCUUGCAAACUCUCAUAGCUUUGUGUGGACUUAGAAUGAAUGCAAAGCUUGCCCAAAUGGGGUUUCACUUCCCGAGUGGAUUCUUAAAUCUCGGGAAAUAGGGUAUACUUGAAUCACCACUUGAAAGUGGAUAUCAUGACAAAUGUGAGUUCUCGGUUGGAAAUUCUCUGCAGGGCAAUUCAACUAUGGGCUUUGUGGUUGGAAACUUCAGGUACCGGUGCAUUGGACUAGCUCGGUACGCGACAAGUUAGACGCAAUCUUUUUGGUGAGCUACGCAAUACCUUGGUUACAUGCAUUUUAUUUAAACGUUUUGAUGUGAAAUGGUAUUUGCUUUCAAAUGCUGGAAAAUGUGAGUCAUGUGUUUUAUUUAUGAAACUUGUUACUUUUAGCAAAACCGUGAAUUAUCGGAAAGUGGCCUAUUCACGUGUGUUUUAUUAUGGCUGGAUGUAGACCAUGGAAUAUGAUUUUGGUACUUGAACGCUAUGAAUUGCUCAGACUUGUU